GUAAAGAGAUGUAACAUUGUGCAACGUUUCGACAGACUGAAGUAUUGUUUUCUUGCAUAUUUUGAAAAUGAUUGGACCCAACAUCUCUGUUGUUGAAAAAAAACUCUACUUGUCCUGCAUUUUAUUCAACGACCUGCAAAAUUACGAUUGCAUCAGAUGUGCAGACAGUAGACCCCCUCAGACUCCGGCCAUGGCGGAGAAUAGAACGGAAACUAGGAAGUUUGUGUCAGAGGGCUUAUCUGCCCUUUACUACUACCGCUGCAUCGCUUGGCUUCAUCAUCAAUUCCUAACAUUCCCAGCACAAAAUACACUUAAUUUUUGUCUAAUAUAAUAGCAUUUUGUUCUCACUCUAGGAAAAAGUGGGCAAUUUCAAUAUGUUUGUGUGAUCAGCUUGUACGUCACUUAAACUUGGUUGAAUCAAAUUCUGUGUGAUCAGCCAUUUGAUUUUUUUGAUCUUUGAUUACAUGAAUAACAGA